GGGACCUGCGGUAGGAUCAUUG
rnacentral:rRNA from 1 species